rnacentral:rRNA from 1 species
UACGUAGGGGGGCAAGCGUUGUCCGGAUUUAUUGGGCGUAAAGAGCGUGUAGGCGGCCAGGUAGGUCCGUUGUGAAAACUCGAGGCUCAACCUCGAGACGUCGAUGGAAACCAUCUGGCUAGAGUCCGGAAGAGGAGAGUGGAAUUCCUGGUGUAGCGGUGAAAUGCGCAGAUAUCAGGAAGAACACCCGUGGCGAAGGCGGCUCUCUGGGACGGUACUGACGCUGAGACGCGAAAGCGUGGGGAGCGAACAGG